AGCACUCGGUAGCAGGAGCAGCACGGCAGUGGCCUAGGGCUGAAAAGAGAGACCAAAGUCUCAUCCAGGCUUGGCUGCAGGCUCCCAGCUUGAUCUGUUUGGCCUCCCCACUCCCUUGGGAGCCCCAUGGCCACGUGAGGCUCCCUGCAGGAGUCGGAGGAGUGGGAUGGGUGUCUCAGAGAGGGGCAAGGUGUGUUGCUCAGACAGCUUUCUCGGAGCCGUCUGCUGUUACAUCAUUUUCUUUUCUGUCUCUGUAAAACAGCCACAAAAAACAAUGACUAAUUUCUCAGUGGAAUAUUCAUCUUUUAAAAGCCAGACCUGGGGCUUCAGUGCUCAUGAAGCCUUCCAGCUCCUCAGGUUGGAAAAAUUUAUUCUCUGGAAGAGUGGUAAUGCUUUGGAACUGCCCAGGGAGUGAUGGAGUCUUGGUCCCUGGAGGUGUUCCAGAGCCAUGGAGAUGUGGCACUGAGAUGCCCUGCCUGGGACUUUGAUGCCUACAGAUCUCCUCCAGGCCUGGCCCUUAUGCUCCUCAAAGAGUCUGCACCUAUUUUGAUGACGUGAAGCAUUAUCUGCUCCAGACUCGUAAACAAAAACAGAAGCUUAACCAUUAACCCCCUCCAUCACAGCACCCCGACCUAUCACUCUCUGAGAGCUGACUUUUCACAGGGCAGGUUUCUGUCUGUGUUUUUAUCAAUCUCAAGCAGUUUUUUAAACUGUUCACUAGAGUUUGCCCCCUGCUAUGUUUAUGAUGUAGCACUACAGAGGCUCUCACCCUGCCAUGCUGCAUGCUGUGGUGGUUUGGGACUGGCAGAGCUGAAGCCUGUUGGCCGCCUCCCUCUGCUCUCCUACCUCUGUGUAGCUUUGCAGCAAAUCAAAGUGCAACAAAUGGCUUUGCAUCAUGUCUUUGAGGAGCCCUGGGCCUUGUAUGUUAUCUUGAGGGCAGAGUAUAUGCUCCAAUAAAAGAAGGCUUUAUUACCAACUGCAACGGAGCUAAGGAUCCAAACACGUAUCGCCUUGUGAGUUUGUCGUAAACUCCCUUUUAUGGCCCAUCCAGUUUAUGGCUAAUGGAGAUUUACAGUGGGAAGAAGGGGCCGUGUGCUCUAAUUAAUGUGGUUAUUAGGCUGGGAGGGCUCAGCACAGCCAGCCCCAUGCUUGCCCUUCAGCACGGCCCUGCAGAGCACACAGACAGUGUCUGUCCCCACAUGAGGACUCACCGUAUGGAUGGGGAGCUGAGGUCAAUUCUGUGGGCUGCCAGAGGAGCUGAGCACAUUGUGGGGCAGUGGAGGCUGUGCAGAAAAUAUCCCAUCUCUCCUGCUUGGGUGGUGCUUCUGUCAAUUAGAAGUCAUUGCUCCUCAUCCGUCUUUGGGCUCUAGAUGAGUUCUGACCCCAGUUCCAUCCCCACCAUCACUGUGGACCUGGGAUGUGGCCCUGUUAAUAUCAGCCUGACUUCCAUCACAUGCAGCUAUGCUGGAAUGAAGCUACAAAUGAGGCAGAUUUCAUGUGGUUGCAGCUCCUCUCUGGGAAUGCUUCAUGCCGCUUCGCUCAGCAACUAAAAGCAAGGAGCUGGGGUGAGAACAAUCCUGCUAAUGAUUUGCAGUCCACUCCCUUGAGCUAAGCUGUCUUUGCAGAGCCAAAAUUAUAUCAUAUCAGUCUCCAGAAGCUACCACAGAAGUUAAACAUUAAGUGGCUUAUGUUGCUGGAAACUUCCGUUGGCUUCAGCUUGAUCACAGGUCAAGGAUGCCGUCAUCGAGAGCAGCCUUGAUCUCCAGCAGCCACCAUGGAAAUGGCCAAGCCCAGAGGGACUGAAAUACAGCAGGGCCAUAAAUCUAGCCCUGUGGGGCAGCCCUGUGCUCCCGACUUCACAGAAGAGUGAGAAUGCUGCUGGAGGAGCCCACAAACCCAGGAGGGGCUUUGGGAGCUACAUCAGGUGGAAGAGUGCAUCCAACUCACGAUGCUGGAGAGCAAUGCACUGAUUUCCCACAUCUCACCCAGCCCUGAGAGCAGAGCCAGCUGAAAUCCUGAGUGCUGAGAGGAUGGUUUUGCACUGAUUUCACUCUAGGAAUUUCCUGCAAAGCAAAAAAGGCACAGGCUGAGAGCUGCAAGGAUUCUGGGGGCAAACAUCCAGGAAUUGGGCACCCCUUUGAGGCACGGCGAGGUCUGCAAUGGGGAAGGAGAAAAAGAUUCAGGGCCCUUCUCACCACUAUUAUUAAUAUUCAAAUUAAUUAACUGUGCUGAGGGCUGGAGGAAAUUGAAUGUGGAGAACAACCUAAGCUCUGCUUUAGAUUUUAAGCCAUUCAGGGCUUUGAUGUAAAGCUUGUGCUUUUAUUAUUAUUAUUUUUAAAUCUCUUGAUUUUUUUAUUUUUUUUUUAUGCAAACACCUGGCCUGCUUUAGAGGCGAUAUAACAGUAAUAAAUGAUCCUUAUUAAUUGGCCGUUGGCUGAUGGGGAGCAGCAGGCUCCCAGCAAAACAGGGCGCAUUCAUGGGGGUUAUGGAGCCAGGUUUGGGGAGGGGAUAAUGGGGCUGAAUCCCCCCCAGCAUCCCAGUAUGGGGCUCCCAGCCAGGUAGAGAGCUUUGGUGAGGUUAAAUAAUAAAAAAAAAAAGCAGCUUUAACGAGGCAGAGCUUGAAUACACGCACUCCCUCUUUACCCAUUUAUUAAGUAAUAAUGAAACACUUUUGUCAAAGCUUAGGCACCAAAUUUCUGACACCAGAUGAGCUCUAAAGCUAAUCAGGGGCUGGAAAAAUGGGAAUAUAAUUAAGGCUGCUGACAGCCCCGUGUCAUUAACCUCACAGCUCUCAGGUGCCAUGCUGAACCACAGCUGCAAAAAAUACUGUAUUACGGGCGGUUGGUUUCAGCUGUGGAAAUGAAUUUGGCUUUUAAUGGCUCUGUAAUGUCUCUAGGGCUGAGGUGGUGGCAGGAGGAGGGUGGUGGUCUGUGCUGGGUCAGCUUGGCUGGAGCUGCUCUGUGGUGAAAGAGCGGGGGAAAAUGAGGGCUUUCUGGGUGAGGGUUCAGGCUGGGGCAGUGCUGUUCUCUCCUUCCCCGUGAUUAAUUAUUGUCAUUAUGAGGAGUGUGGGUGUCUGCUUUGUCCUACUGCCCAGGAUUCCUGCUUGUAUCCAGUGUCUUCUGACGUGGGGCUGGUGGCACCUGUGCCACCUACCUGCACUGUGACUUGGCUUCCCAUCCAACAGAAUGGGAGGUAACAGUGUGGACCUGGGGGUUCCAGCAUCUCACAAGGCUGUUUCUUAGGCAGGCACUGUGGGACGUGAAAAGGGGGAAGGGUUUGCCUGGGGUGGAGGGAGCUGUGUUACUGCCAGGAAUAGCACCCAGGCAUCCCGUGACCCGAGCUCUCCUGCGCAAAAACAUGAUAAGGAUCCCAGCACCAGGCACUGAGCAGCCAUAGGAGAGAGCACUGCUGAGACUGCUGUCGGUGCUGCCUCUGAGGAUGAGCAAAGUACCUAUUAGGAGCUGAUGAGCAGAAUGGCACUGAACCUGACUCAGCUCCAAUGUUAGUCAUCAUUCACCCUCUGCUGUCGCUACGGGGAGAUCUGCUGUCCCACACUUCCUAAGUGUGUCUCACGCUUUCUCUGCAGCCUUCUCAAUUUCUCGGGUGCAAAACUCAAGCUUUGGACAACAGCAGGAGCAGUCAGUUAUGUUCUCACUCUGUCUGCUUUGGAAGUCCUGCAGCGCGCUGGUGUGACCACAGCCAUAGGAGAGGGGCAGUUCAGGAUAAAUCAAAAACAAAAGUGCCAUUAUCCAUAUGGGACCUCACAAGCGCAUCGCGUCCCCCAGCAAUUCCAAGCACUCUGGAGGGAAGGCUGCCUUCCAAACCCCAGCUUCUCAGCUCAUGACGUCAGAUGGAAAUGUAUUGCACAACGUUUGAAUUCCUCAUCUUCAUCACAGUAUGGUUAUUUCAGUGGGCUGGAUUUGGGAUUUCAGAAGGUGGAUUCUUCCCCGGGUUCUUGGGGUGCCAGGAGGUGAUCGCCCUCAUCUCUGCAAGGGGAAACCAUCUGCAGCCUGAGCAGUGAGCCCUCCUGCUUGCAGCUGCGCCGUGCCCUGCUUGGCUCAGUGCUGAGUACCCAGAGCAAAGAAGCUUCACGUGUCUGUGCCUUGGCCAUCCUUCACCCCAGUGCUUUUGGAUUCAGAUUAAAUAAAAGGUGAGAGAAGUGGGGAGGGAAGGAGGGAGCGUGAGAAGGAGCUCAUCCAUUACCAUGCUGCGCACAAGGCGGGAGGUCUUGGCCUUCUGGUUUGAGUGCUUAUUCCCCAUAAAAUACAUCUGAGAGAAAUCAAUACAAGAAGCACGCAAGAACUUAAAUCAAAGCACAAAGAAGCUGCACUUGGCGAAUGGAGCGACCUUGCAGGGAGCUUUCAGAGCCAAGGGCCCAGCCCUGCAGAUGCGAAAGCUGUUGGUAAAAAAUAGCAAGGCUGGCAUGCAGGCUGUCGUGUGCUGCCUUGGCACGGACCUCAGACACAACGAUGUCUGUAUAGGGAAACUUAUGGACAAGAGGUGUUGGCCAUAGGCUGGGUGACCAGCGUGGGGAUAAGCUGCCAGUUUUCCCCUAGAACAGCAAGGAGAGCUGAUGCGCUCUGGGACAGCUAUCUCAUUUCAACAGGUUGCACCUGGCUUGGCAAAACACCAUGUCCUCUAGGCUGUAGCUGUGCCCAUGCAAGACCUCAGCCCAUAGGAACAAGCGUGCGGACCAGAGCAGGCUUUGCAAGCAGCAGGCUGUUUCCAGCAGCAGCCUGUGCAUCCAAGCAGGGCCACCUGAGCGCAGGUGCCGGCUGCUGACCCCACUGCUGGGUCACAGCACCGUGCUGCAGACAUCAUAAAUCUGCAGAGGUUUGCUGCAGUCAGAGCUCCACCUCUGCAGACCGCGGGGCGCAUGUUCCCAUGCUGGGAAAUCUGACCCCAUGGUAGCCUGAGAGACAGGAGAAGCCUGGGUUUGGUGUUUUGAAUAAGUGGCUUUUUAUCUGAAAUCCCUUUGGGAGCAUGAGCUCAGUAACCAAUGAAAUUAUAUCUGUUGUUUCAAGCAGUGAAGAAAACUUGGCCUGAUGUUUAUUGAGAUUUAUGGCUUCCCCUGAGCUUAAUUGUCUUUGGGAGCCCUGGAUCUUUUUAACGGUUCAGUUAAGUGGUACUAAGAAGGAUGGUAAUGGUUUGAGCAGCCUGCCCCCUUAGCAUAUCUCUUUCUCUCACACAAUUUGCUGAUAUUUGGGAAAUACAGCCAAUGCACUCCCCUCCCGAGGUCACAGUUAUUCACUGGUGUGAAACUUCAAGAGACAAAAUCAGGUGUGAAAAGCUCCCAGGCAGUGCCUCCUUGGUGAGGCGAUAGCUUCAGCCCUUGGGGCCAUGCAGUGGAGAUGGGGAGGACACAUGGGUUCACCUGUCCCCCUGCAGGGCCCUGUGGCCCCUUCUCCCUUUACUGCAGGCUCCUGGGUAUAUGUAGCUUCAUUUGCUUGCUGUUGUUUCCUCCCUGCAGGGAUGCUUGGUGGUUGGGGCAUCGGCGUCCAUCUAUGCAUCAGCCCUCGUGAUGCAGGGCUUGGGAAGGAGCUCCUCCCAUUGGUCUGAACUGGGGAAGGCCCAGAUCCCACCUUGCGCUGUGUCCCAGUCGCUGGUUGACCAUCCUCAGACCCAGCGCUGUCACCAGGAGCAGAGCAUCGCCCUUCACACACCAUUAUUCCUCACCCCCAGAGCCUUUUCAUCUCUUAUCAGCUGUGACCCUCAGGCUCCCUUAUCUCCCCCCAGCCAUCCACCCAAGCCGUAGAGCUGUCGACAUGGGGAAUGACCUUCACCUCCUCGCUCACCUCCAGGAGAUGCUGUGUCCGCUCGGCCGGGCGCAUGGUUGGCUGCAGCAGCACUGCCUGCUGCCCGGAGCCAGGUAAUUACAGCACCCGUUAUGGUUCAGCGGGCACCUUCAUUAAUAAACCUCGAGUUUCCGAGGUGCCUAACUCAGCCAUUGGAAACCACAUCUGGCUGUAACUCUACGGCGUGUCUAAGCUUUCAGCUCAUCUCCGACUGCCUAAGCGGUUUACAGGACGGGCUGUAAACAAAGUCUGUUUUGUUGGGGUUUUGCGUGCUUUGAGGAAAAGAAAGCAAAUGCGUCCGCUGGGCUCAUCUCCUCGGUGCAGAGCUGGAGGCUGACAGCUCCUUCUCACGUUAUUUUUUGCUUCUGAGAUAGCCCAAAUAAUGAACAUAUGGAGUCCUCCCAUGCAUGCAUACAUAGCUCUGGUGCUUGGUGCUGGGCAGCAUCCUUGCUCUGGCACAAGGCAGGCUUGCAGGAGGAGCAGCCAUCAAUGGGAAGGAUGCAGUUAAAUUCCAUAGAGAUGUAAGGAGCAGAGAUGGGUAAGGAGAUGAGUCCGGCAUCAAAGGGAGUGGGCAGGCAAUAUGCACCCUCUAGUAACCCACCAGAGCUCAAAGGCAAGUAAGUGCACAUCUGUGCAGGGGAGCUCUGGAGUGUGCAGCUGGGAGGGAGGAAUGGGCUGCUGGGGGUCUGCGCUGCUGGGCUGGGCUGUGUCCCCAGCUCAGAGCCCUCCCCUGGCUGUGGGACAGGGGCUUGUGGUAUUUGAGAAGCAGGGUUCUGGAGCUGGGGACAUGCAGACAGUUGGGUACCAUCCUGCUGAAGGGAAAGGGCACCAGUGUGCCUGCAGCCCUUUUUGCUAGAGCCAGGUGCUGGGGAUGCAAUGGUCUUGGACACCUUUGGGGCCAAUGCUCACCAUGACGCUGGGCAUUGGCUGCCAACCUGAAAGUGAGGAGAGCUCUGUAGGAAAGGCUGAAAUUUCUGCUCUGCAUCCCUGUCACAGAGCAGGUGGGGACCACCUGUGUAUUUCCCAGGUGCUGAAGAGGAGGUGGCAGCACUGGCUGUGGGUUGUUGCUGAACUCGCUCAUGGAUUGCUAAUGAUGUUUGUGAAAGCCCUGAAUGAAGACCACACACGGGAGGCUCAGGCAAGUGAUGUACCUUAGACCUGGAGGGUGAGAGGGAAAAAUGCUUUUGUGCCUGACUCACCGGCUCUGUGCUAACACUGACUCAUAAUUACUGAUCUUGAUUCAGGGGAAAAAAAAAGAUCUAUCUGCAUUCAGACCUUUGGAAGAGGCCAUUGCAACCUACUAAUGAAGAGGGGAGGUGGUGCUGCUGUGCUGUCUGCAGCCCCAUGCAGGCAGCUCUGCAGAUGAAGAUGUCUCGCGAGCAGCACGUUGGACCUGAACACGUGUUUGUGUGGUUCUCCUGCCAUCAGCACAACGGGAGCUACACAGCGGCCAGCCAUGCAGAGCCAACAAGAAAAGCCUGCUGAAGAAAGGCACCGGCGAUGACAAUACCCAUUUGCAAGACGGAUUAAGCUUAGAGCAGUCUGGGCUUUGUGCAGAGGCAGCUCUGAGCACGAAGCGUGGUGGCAGGAGGCUACAAAAGCCGGGAUCCCACGCAGCCCCAUCGCCAGCAGUGCUAACCCAGCCCAUGCAAGGCUCAGUCCCCACCGCUGCCAGAACCUGCUACCUCCUGCCCUGCCCUCUCCCAGUGCCCUGCUCGUGCCACCUUGCCUCCCUGCUGCUCAGCCCUGCUGGAUGCUAAGUGGAAAUCCCCCCCUGUGCCAAGUGUUAAAUACUUAUCAAGCUAAUACAGCGUCUUCGCGGAGGUGCGUACAUGAGACAACAUGUUACCAUAAUUAACAAGCAGCUGGAGUUGGCAUCGUGCUGCAGCUGCUGGCGGCGGCUCCCAGUGCCUUUCCCAGAGCUGCAGCUCUGCCCACUGCAAUAGCAGGGAAGUGCUGAGGGAGGGAAUGCCUUGCAGGUCCCUUCCUACCUCGCAGGAGGUGGUGGUGGCUUUCAGACUGGGGUCUGCGUAGACACGGAGGUCUGGGAGUAUUUCUGGGCUGGGCAAAUGGGUCCAUUCCCAGCAGGCAAAUGCUUAUAUGGGAGGUGAGGAGCUGUUGUGGGAGGCACUGAGUUGAGUGCUGUAGGGAAUCCUGUUGCUGGAGUCUCUGGGAGUGGCGGCCCGUCCCUGUGCCAUUGAUGUGGCCAUGGAAUCACAGUGCUGGGGCAGUGAUGACCAAGUGCCACUGGAUCUGUGUGAUAGGUGUCAGGGAUCAGUGGUGGAGAGAGCUUGGGAGAAAGAGAGAGUGGCUGUGAUGGGACUGUAAACCCGGCCCCGGGGAUGAAGGUGGCAGAGUGGGGUUGGUGGGCUUCAUUUAUUUGGUCAGACUUACUGAGAUGAUGUAGAUCCAUCCCUCUGCUCAGCCCUAUGCAGAUCUGCUGCAUAAAAGCUCCCCAUCCUUUUGAAUUGCCUUGAGCUCCCUAACUUUCCAGCCCCAGAGAAGUCAUCUCAGCAGUUGAUGUUUGUAUCGUGACCUACAUUGCUAUUGGGUUUUAAAUAUAUAUAUAUAUAUAUAUAUAUAUAUAUAUAUAUAUGUAUUUACUGCACUGUAUGCUAGCUUCCCACAUGCAAAUUGCUCAGAGUGAGCCAUUUAUCUGGAAAAUAAAGGUUAUGUUCUCAAAAGGCAUUUAGUUCCUUUCUGAAUGAUUGAGCGAGUUUUCCACCGAGAAAACAAAGAUCUUUAACACAGUCCAAACCGAUGACAGGGAAAAAGGCUCAGGUAAAACCCCUCCAUUUAUUUAAUAGCUCCCCCUUCCUCAUUCAUAUUUACAAGAUAAAAGGGGCUCCAUCAACCCAUUAGAGUUGAAAUACGUGUCCUGUCUUCAAGGAAAGCAAAUCCCAUCUGGCAUCCCUGGAGGAAUAUAACCUUAACUUCAGCUUAAUGCCACAUUACGGUAUCUAACAGAUCCAGCCUGAGAUUUACCUGCCUUUAAGGGAGAUUUAUUUUGGAAGCAAACAGGCACAUGUGACAAAUCACUUUCUGUGAGCACCUUAGGCAAGGAGGAGCAGUUUUCCCCUAUGGGGGUCCUGCUGUGUCCUGGGCUGGGUGUGGAGCUGGGAGCUGCCUCAGGGCUGGGCUGUUUCCCCCCAACCCAUUGCACAGACCCCAUUCCCUCUGUGCCUGCAGGGGUUGGGGAAAGGCUUUAGGGAAAGGUGGUUCAGCUUCUGUGGCUCUUGCAUUUGCCUGGGAAAUCAGAGACUUUUCCAUGAUGAAGGUAUUGCUGCCAACACCUCUCUGCAUCCCCACCCAGCACCGCCGGUUUCCAUCACCACCCCCACCACCUUAAGGACAAGAGUGGAGAGGGGCACUUUCUCUCUUUCCCAUGCAACUUAACCUUGGGGACUCGGUGCUGCAGACCUAAAAAUGCAUCAGCAGCUGCAGGAAUGCAGGAUUGGGUUCCUGCAGGGGCUGCAGGAUUGGGUGACUCCAUCCCAAAUGACAUCUCAGCGAUGUGGUUCUCCAGGGCAGCAAAAAUGCUGAUGGCCUGGGUUGGGAAGCACGGCCUGGUUGUGUCUGCUGAGAGAUUUUGGCCAAAGGACCAUAGUGAUGUCCAAGCAGAAAGUGUGUUUCUGUAUAGAGCUAGCCCAGAGGUGAUGUUUGCAGCAAAUAGGUUUAUUGUCAUUUCUGGUUUUAUUGAUAUGAAUAGAAACAGAUGAGGGUUUUGUAAUUAUUUAAUCAAUCCCAAAUGUGUGAGACUGCUUGGGACUGAAAUACGAGGCAUUUCUUGGUGUUCCCUGCUUGCCUAUGCCUAAGGUGGUAGCUGUACUCUUUCCCUCAGACCUGGCUUCUGCUGCAAAUGGAAAACCUGGGGGGUUGG